GGGAGUGUCCGUGUUCCUGGUGGACACCACGGCCUUCAAAGCCGCUGAGGCGCUGUACCCACAGAGCCUGGUGGGUUCGAUUCCCAUCCACUCCCG
rnacentral:tRNA from 1 species